rnacentral:rRNA from 1 species
UUUAAAAGCUUUUUAAAGUAUCAAUUGGAGGGCAAGUCUGGUGCCAGCAGCCGCGGUAAUUCCAGCUCCAAUAGCGUAUAUUAAAAUUGUUGCAGUUAAAAAGCUCGUAGUUGAAUUUCUGCUAAAAAUAACCGGUCUGCUUUUAAUAAAAGUGGUAUCUAGGUCUGUUUUUAGCAAUAAUGUCCGUUGAAAUGUUUUUUACUUUAUUGUAAUAAAUUAUAUUCAGGAUUUUUACUUUGAGAAAAUUAGAGUGUUUCUAGCAGGCUUACGCUUUGAAUACUGCAGCAUGGAAUAAUAAAAUAGGAUUUUGGUUCUACAUUAUUGGUUUUAAGAACUAAAUUAAUGAUUGAUAGGGACAGUUGGGGGCAUUUGUAUUUAACUGUCAGAGGUGAAAUUCUUAGAUUUGUUAAAGACAAACUACUGCGAAAGCAUUUGCCAAAGAUGUUUUCAUUAAUC